rnacentral:rRNA from 1 species
UGGGGAAUAUUGCACAAUGGGCGCAAGCCUGAUGCAGCCAUGCCGCGUGUGAAGAAGGCCUUCGGGUUGUAAAGCACUUUCAGCGAGGAGGAAGGCGUUAAGGUUAAUAACCUUAGCGAUUGACGUUACUCGCAGAAGAAGCACCGGCUAACUCCGUGCCAGCAGCCGCGGUAAUACGGAGGGUGCAAGCGUUAAUCGGAAUUACUGGGCGUAAAGCGCACGCAGGCGGUUUGUUAAGUCAGAUGUGAAAUCCCCGAGCUUAACUUGGGAACUGCAUUUGAAACUGGCAAGCUAGAGUCUUGUAGAGGGGGGUAGAAUUCCAGGUGUAGCGGUGAAAUGCGUAGAGAUCUGGAGGAAUACCGGUGGCGAAGGCGGCCCCCUGGACAAAGACUGACGCUCAGGUGCGAAAGCGUGGGGCAGCAAACAGGAUUAGAUACCCUGGUAGUCCACGCUGUAAACGGAUGUCGAUUUGGAGGUUGUGGGCUUGAC